rnacentral:rRNA from 1 species
ACACGUGGGUAACCUGCCUUAUAGUGGGGGAUAGCCUUUCGAAGGAAGAUUAAUACGCAUAAGAUUGUAGUAUCGCAUGAUAUAGCAAUUAAAGGAGCAAUUCGCUAUAAGAUGGACCCGCGUCGCAUUAGCUAGUUGGUGAGGUAAUGGCUCACCAAGGCGACGAUGCGUAGCCGACCUGAGAGGGUGAUCGGCCACAUUGGGACUGAGACACGGCCCAGACUCCUACGGGAGGCAGCAUG